CAUGACUCAUCCUGGGUUUUUUAUUCUUUUUUUUUUUUUUGCCCCUUUUUAAGGAUUUGAAAGAAAAGAAGGAAGUUGUGGAAGAAACAGAAAAUGGCAGGGAUGCUCCCGCCAACGGCAAUGCCAACGAGGAAAAUGGCGAGCAGGAGGCGGACAACGAGGUAGAUGACGAAGAGGAAGAGGUUGGCGACGAAGAGGAGGAUGAGGAAGAAGGUGACGGACGACGACGUCGAUCCGAAGAAGCAGAAAACCGACGAAGACGACUAGGGAGUAGAAUAAUAAAAAAGAAAGAAACAACUUUUUUUUAAACUUAAGAAAAGAGGGAAAAACAUUUUUUUAAGAAAAAGGCCAGCGUGAACUUCUUUCACCUUUGAAAACUUCCUGUUACAAAAAAGAAGAAAAAAACCACGUUUCCCCUUGUUGCUAAUGGUCACCGUCAUAAAGUAGAGCAAACAAACAAACAAAAAAAAAUCCACCCCAACCCCAGUAAAAGCCGAAUGGCCGUAGAGCUGCCAUUUUUUUUCCCAACUUGUAAAAAAAAAAAACCCCCCCAACAGCCCAAAAAUCUAUCUCCCUUCUCCCCUCCCCUCGGGAAAACUUCAAGGCCCAGCUUGCUUUCUUAAAAGUAACUUUAAAAGGAGAAUUUGUUUGUAUUUUUUAUUUACAUUUUAUAUUUUUGUACAUAUUGUGAUGAGGUCAGCCAUUUUUAACGCGAUCUCCAUUGACCAAAAGGGGGGAGGGGUGUGCUUUUGAAGUGCUUUUCUUUUUUUUCUUCUUUUUCCUUUGUUCCUAUAAACGAAACGAAACAAACGAAAAAUAAUUCUUGACUUUACUUGUGGUGUGACCGUGUCCAAAAACCAUUAUCUCAAAAAAGGAGAAGAAAACUUAAAAAAAACGACCUUGUAAAAAAAUAAUAAUAAUAAUUUCAAAAACACACACAAAAAAAGUCCAAGGUUUAUGACAAGCAUUCCAGUAACACUUUUUUUUUGUGUGUAUGUACUUUUACCUGUACCAUAAAGUAGUGGGUUUGUGAGAUGGCAAGGCCAAAGAUUAAAAGAUUUUUUUCCUUUGUUUUUUUUUUUUUUCUCCUUUUCGUUCUUUUUAUUUUUGUCUAAGGAGUUGCUGUUAAUUUUUUUUUUCUUCUUCUUUUUGGCCUGUUUUAUGUAUGUGUGAAAACAAUAUUGUCCAACAAUAAACCGGAAUUUUAUUUUGCUGGGUUGUUCUAA
rnacentral:lncRNA from 1 species